UACAGAGGGUGCAAGCGUUGUUCGGAAUUACUGGGCGUAAAGGGUUUGUAGGUGGCCAACUAAGUCAGACGUGAAAUCCCUCAGCUUAACUGGGGAACUGCGUCUGAUACUGGUUGGCUUGAGUGCAGGAGAGGAACGCGGAAUUCCAGGUGUAGCGGUGAAAUGCGUAGAUAUCUGGAGGAACACCGGUGGCGAAGGCGGCGUUCUGGACUGCAACUGACACUGAGAAACGAAAGCCAGGGUAGCAAACGGG
rnacentral:rRNA from 1 species